rnacentral:lncRNA from 1 species
GCCUGGGGCUCAAAGCCCAACAAUUCAAUGGAAAGACAGGUUCACUCAGACUUGGGGUGUAACAUAAUGUUAGGGAUUGAAAUCCUAAUCCACCCGUUUGGGCCUUCAACACAAAACUGGCCUUAGGGCGAGGUAUGCACCGGAUUUAAAAUGACCGAAUAGAAGGAACUCUCAUCAGUUGUGGCCAAAUUGAAAAUGCUUCUCCAAAAUGCAAAGUUGCAACAAUGAUGGCGCUUCAACAAUUCUUCGCAUCGGUAUCACGACUAUAGAUCUGGAGCACCGGCGUUGCAUCGUGGAUUCAUCAUGAUUCAUGUUUCAAGAUUCAUCACUCAUGUUAGCGUUUCAAUCAUCAUCGCGUUCGCUUCAAAACGCUCAAGCUCGCGCACGCAAACUCGAGGGGCAAUGCAGAUUUAUCCCGGAAAAUUAAUGUUGAAGUAAGAAGCGGCAGAAAACUCACCGGAUCAGAAUCGGAGCUGGUGCGGUGACCUCCCUGGGAACAACCGGCACGCUUCUUCUUUCAUAUUCGUUCUCUUCUUCUUCUUCUACCGCUUGAACUCUUCUUCUUCUCGUGUCUUCUUUCUGAGCAUUAUUGUUGUUAGCUCCGUUAUAAGUGUAGAGAGAGGUUCAGAGAGUCAGUGUUUAUUGUGUGCAGAGCCUCGAAGCUUCAGAGAAAUCAAGAGAAUUGGACUUAUCAGACGAUGCAGAGUGAUGAAUUCAGUGCCCCCUAAAUUGUGAUUGCAAUGACGAAUUUAUAGAGUUCAACAAUGAUAACUCUGUUAAUCUCCAUCGAACCUCUUAGUGCAUAGUUAGUUAAGUGUUAAGCUAUCGUUAAGAAUCUGUUAGAAAGUUAGUUGCAAUGUAAAUGCGGUUAGAGUGAUUGGUUAGCAUCUAUUAAAUGUCUUGGAUUAAUUCUCUCAGUUUUCGUUUGCAGGGUUAGUUUAACCGCUAAUUUGAAACUAGUUAUUGGGUGCAGAAUGAUGUGGAAAUAGAGUGGAGUUAAUAUACUUUUACUCUGUUAUGAUAUUCUGUAGAUACAAGUGAGUUGUUGAGUCGUGCUAUGUGGUGAGUUAGUUAAUUGAUUGCAGUUCUAUUGAUUAGCUUUCUAUUAAACUAUUGAUGCAUUGAGGUCUUUAACAUAUUCUGCAACUUCAAAAAUUCCUGCUUAGGAUGAAUGGAAAGUUCACUGGAAAGUUCACAUCUUACUUGGACUUCAUAUGGUAUGAUUGUUGCUUGAAGUUUCUCAUCUCAGUUUCCCUUCAAAUUAAUUUUUUGCUACUGCAUAGACUACAUAUGCCUAAAAUCGCUUUGCUAUUGCCGGUUUGGACUGUUGCUUGAAGUUUGUAUGUCAUGAAGUUUUGAUAUCAAUUUGGAUUCCUUCCAUCCUUGCUUAUGUGAAUGCAUUGGUGCGGCUGUUUUACAGGACUGAGAUAGACUUUUUCUUUCAUUUGAAUUGCUCAUGAUGUAUGUAAGUUUGAUGUAUGUAGCAUAAAAUAUAUGUGAAUAACCUAUGAGGCAUAAUGUAAUGCUUAUGUAAAAUGUUUGUUUUAAUAAUAAAAAAUUACUUAUGAUUGUAAUUUACUCAAAACUCAUCUUGCCUUGUUAUAUGUAUGAGACAUUUCCAUGUAAUGAAUGCUAGCCAUGAAAUUGAGCAUGUAUAGAAAAUUUAUGGAACUUUGAAUUGAAAUGUAUGGAUUGAAUAUAAUGGAUAUUGGUGGACCUUGACCU